UUUGGGUCAUUCUCUUCAGAAGAAGGCAAAGGCCCACGCCCCACCGGAGACACACAGGGCUAUUCCCAGCCCGGCGGCGGUACCUGUUCUGGAGAUGCUGAAGACAACUCAAGGUUAUAGGUGCUAUUGAUGAGUGUUCGCUUGGGAAGUAUCUGGAUAUCAGGACCCGGAUUGCCAUGCCAAGUUCUUCUGCUCCAUCAAAUGAGGCAAAUGAUGCACAGAUAGGCUAAGGGGCAGCCACGCAGAAGAAGGGAUCUGGAUUGGGCGUCUCAGAUGCUAAGGCUUGGCCAUAACCACACACCCCACUUGUUCCGAGUUGGAAUCCACAUGCUGAUUCUCUAGUAUGGACCUUUGGAACCUGUCAAAGUUAUGCCCUUGGCUCAUAUAUUAAAACAUGUU
rnacentral:lncRNA from 1 species